rnacentral:lncRNA from 1 species
UUUUUCCAAACCAUUUUAAAGAGUAUUGUUAAAAGCAUCAGAUUACUUUGGUACCACUUAUAUCUUGCAGAUGACCAGAGCAACUCAUAAAAACAUUUAAAGGUAGUAGAAAUCUUUGACAUCUGAAGUGGAUGAGAAGAAAAGGGAGGAGAUGAUUUACUGUGCCGUGAUGCAAAGAAAGAAGAGCAGGAUAGAUCCCAGAUAACUUGCCUGCUUAUUGGUUGGCCUGCUGUGAAGGGCAGGAAAUAACAAGGUGUUAACAGCCAUGCCUUUAUACACAAUUAAUGGCACAGAACCAUAUUUUUGGUCUAUGACAUGAUUCAACUUUAAGUCCUGCUGCUGUCAGAGGAGAUUUUGGAGACUGAACUCUAUCUGGUAUAUUUAAGUUUGUUUUGACUUACACAUUACUUAAUGCAUUAGCGCCAUGAUCUGAAGUAGACUUUCCAGGCACAGUGGAGUAUAGAUAUGUGUAA